rnacentral:rRNA from 1 species
AACGAACGCUGGCGGCAUACCUAACACAUGCAAGUCGAACGAGACCUUCGGGUCUAGUGGCGCACGGGUGCGUAACGCGUGGGAACCUGCCCUUAGGUUCGGAAUAACUCCCCGAAAGGGGUGCUAAUACCGGAUAAUGUCUUCGGACCAAAGAUUUAUCGCCUUUGGAUGGGCCCGCGUUGGAUUAGCUAGUUGGUAGGGUAAAAGCCUACCAAGGCGACGAUCCAUAGCUGGUCUGAGAGGAUGAUCAGCCACACUGGGACUGAGACACGGCCCAGACUCCUACGGGAAGCAGCAGUGGGGAAUAUUGGACAAUGGGCGAAAGCCUGAUCCAGCAAUGCCGCGUGAGUGAUGAAGGCCUUAGGGUUGUAAAGCUCUUUUACCCGGGAUGAUAAUGACAGUACCGGGAGAAUAAGCGCCGGCUAACUCCGUG